GGCUAUUAGCUCAGGUGGUUAGAGCGCACCCCUGAUAAGGGUGAGGUCCCUGGUUCAAGUCCAGGAUGGCCCACCUAAACAAUGUGGGGGUAUAGCUCAGUUGGUAGAGCGCUGCCUUUGCAAGGCAGAUGUCAGCGGUUCGAGUCCGCUUACCUCCACUAAACCCAUCAAAACCGAGAACAAACUAGCACUACAGCUUUCAUCACCAGAAAGAGUAAAUGCUGGAAAUGUUCCAGCCAGAACCUUGAAAACUGCAUAGAAAAAUCAGAAGGGAUCAAAAAUGAAACCCAAACCGGGAAGAAAAAACCC
rnacentral:tRNA from 7 species